rnacentral:tRNA from 1 species
UGGGGCUAUAGCUCAGUUGGUAGAGCGUCGCGUUCGCAAUGCGAAGGUCAGGGGUUCGAUUCCCCUUAGCUCCACAAA